rnacentral:lncRNA from 1 species
UAUGUUACGAAAUUACUUUUCCUACAAGACCAAAGAGGGUAAAAACAGGUCAAGAAAUACAUGAUCUCAGAGACGAUAAAGAAUUUUUAAAAAUGAAAAGAAUUUAAUACAGAUCACCAAAUCAAAACGCUAGGCUCCAUGCAUCAAGCAGGUAAUAGUUUAACAAACCACGCAGCAAGAAAACAUGUUGAAAAUUCAAUUUGCAUGCCUUGCAGUAAAAACCCAGAAAUUAAAGUAAUAAAGAACGAAUCACUGAAUAAAUUGAUUUAUCUAUCUGGAGCCAAAUGUAUGCUGAUUAAAUAAUGAAGUUCAUGAUUCAAUUUUUAUUUAUAGCAUUAAAAGAACAAACACCAAGAUUAACUUCACAAACAUGAACCCGGAAAUGAAAAAGAAUACAAAAUUAUUGGAAGAAAGAUAGAGCAAGAAGAAAGCGUAUUUAUUUCUCCUGAAAAACCAAAGAGGUCACCGAAUCAAAAAAAUAUUAACUGAUUUAAUAGUAUACAUUAAAAAUAAUGAAGAAAUUUAGAAAAGAAAAAUGAUUUAACAGACAUCACCAAAUCAAAUCCACGCUUAGUUUGACCAAACACGCUGCAGAAUAAUUAAGGACAUGAUUAAGGACAUGUUUAAAAUUCAAUUUUUUACACCGCACAUUACAUGUUGAUUAUUAUCUCUAUUGUUCGUGCUCAAUAGAAGUGAUCUUACUGAAGUUCUCAAGAGUAAUUUCCAAUAAAGAAAGUUUAUACUCUAGUUAACACUGGCAGGUCAAACAACCAAAAUAUAACUUUCAAAAUACAUUAAGCAUUCCUAAGCUAGAAGCAGGCCUGCUUUGUGGACUAAUGAGAAACAAUAAACUCCGCACAUUUGGUAUAUUCCACUAUUGUGCUUGUUCUUGAUAGAAAGAAUGCAGGACACGCAUAAAUAGUAAGAAAUAACUGGUUUUGUCCAAAAUAGGACGCUCUAUCAUGUUAUUCACACAAGCUUUUCACAAUCCACGUAUAUUUGCAAUGAACGAGAUAAAAUUACAAAGAACCAAUCCAAGUAGAAUUCACCUUGAAGCCCGGUGCCCUCAGAAAUAUCCACUUAGAGAACCGAUUUAUUCUUAUGAACACCCAAGCUCCCCAAAUAAAGACCACACAAGCUGUCCAAAACAGAUUACAGAUACAGGUAGGUCAAACCAUAAGAGAAUAACUACUCCACUGACAAAGAUACAAAUUUGGGACAGAAGAUUCUUAUUCUUAUAUAAUAACUAGAAAAGAUGGGAGACUACCAGAGUACAACACCAAAACAAGUCAUAUACUCUAGAAUCUUGUAUGCUUCAGUAUUCAUGCUCCUCAUGCAAAAACACAUAUAUCCAGCACUAGCAUGAGACAUAUCAAAGGAAAAAUAUCCCCUAAUGUCGUAACAUAACAGAUAUGUAAAAAAUCAUUAACCUUCAGUUUCCACAGGUCACAGCACACCAUAUAUUCAUAGUCGGUCUCCCCUGUAACACCCAUAGAUAUCAAAAGAAUUGAAAAAAGAUGUAAUUGAAAAGAAAAAUAGAUUCACAAUCCAAUCUUCAUGUCUUAAAAACAAAGCAAUAAUCUUAAAAAGUAAAGAACGACUCAUUGGAGUGAUCUGAUAUAUCUGGACUCUCCAAACAUUGUAGAUAUUCAAACUUUAGCCCUCUGCAAAACAGAGGUGUAUAUCUUGAUUAUCCAAGAAAGAGAUGGACAGUAUCAUAAAUAUUGCCAAAGCUCUCAUAAUAUCUAGAUUCAUAAUUCUAGACAUUGCCACAUCACAAGGACACCUAUACAUGAACAAGUACAUUCAAGGCAAGAAAAUGACCGGUGAAAUCCAAGGGUCUGCAGCUUUAACAUCACAGUACAUCAUCUCCCCUGUAACACAAGCCAAGAAAAUUUCACAACAAAAAACCCCAGUUACAAACACAUGGAGUUGGGUAGGAAUGAGAGAAAACUACAUCCACAAAAGACAAGGAAACGUUAAGAAAUCACUGUCAAAGUAGAGAUAACGAAAUGAAAGCUUAACAACGGCAGAUUCUGGUGAUCCAUUAAGCUCUCCCCCCUAAAAACCAAGUCCUUGUAUAUAACCAAUUGCAGAAUCUGUGAGGCAUAACCAUUUUGGAGAGAAGAUUCUUAGCCUUAUGUAUAUAUACCACAAACCGCAGGAAAAUAGAAAACGAAUUAUAGUAGAGGAAAAGACAAAUCAACAAUUAAAGUAUUGAAGUGCCAAACCAGUCCAGAAUGCUUAUAUGCUUCAUACUCUCAUGAGACAGAACCACAAAAACUCAGACACUUGCAAGAAACCAUCAGAGGACCCGAUAUCCCAAAUCCCAAUAUAAAACAGACUGUGGUUAUUUUAAGAUACAUUACGCUCCAGAAAACAGGUUUUAAUACACAAUCCCACCAGGAAUGAAACUCAAUUGGCAACAUCCAAAACAGAAAAUUCAUAUCAGAACUCCAGUCAUCUUUCCAAGUUCCGCAAAACAUUACUAUUUCCUAUUACUCAUAUAGCAAUACCAUAAAUGCAAAACAACAUCGGUCUACCAAGAAUAAUGUUAGUUGUAACAGAGGAAUUCAAGAACAAUUAAUCAAUUGUAACUGCAAAAGUUAAGAUACCGAAUAAUUAAUCACAAAGAAUAAGAAUACAACACAUGAGGAUCAAACAAGAGAAUGUCACAGAUUAUUGCUCCUGCAACACCAAAAAGUAACGAAUGAAGAAAUAUUCAUACUCUCAGCAACACCAAAAAGUAACCAAUCAAGAAAUAUUCAUACUCUUAGCAGUGAAAGAAAUAUUGUAAACAAAGAAUUAUGAUAGAUAUCACCAUAUAAAAACGCUAUGAUGCGAAGAAAGUUAUUAGAUUUGACAGACCGUGCUGCAGAAAAACAUGUUCAAAAUUCAAUUUGUUAAAAGCCCAUAAAUCAAGUUAAUAAAUGACUCAUUGAAGAAACAUCAUCUAUCUAUCGGAUGUUGUUCCUCGUUCUUGUCCAUUGAAUCAAGUGUUCUAGAUAUCUAGAGUUCCGAGUUCCCUGCUUGCAGUACAACGGAUUAAAGGUCUUCAAUUAUCAAAUGAAGUUAUUUUGAAAAAUAACACAAAGAUUGAAUAAAUGAAAUUUCUAGAGAUCACCAGAAAAAUACUAAAGGCUCCAUACUCUGAAGUAGGUUAUUAUUUAAACAAACCAGGCUGCUGAAAAAGCAUGUUCGCAGUUCAAUUAUUUUGACAAACCAUGCUGCAGAAAAGCAUUUUCAAAAUCAAUUUGUAUGUCUUGUAAUCAAAGUCAGAUUUUAAACAAAAUUAACAAAAUCAAUAAAGAUUUAAACAAAAAGGAUUUACUACCUUUGAUAUUUAUGAAGUAAGGAGAAAAAUUUGAGGUUCUAUGCUAUGAAGGAGGUUAAUAUUUUGACAAAACCAAGCUGAAAAAGAAAGUCAUUGAUUCAAUUUUGCUGUCUUGCAUUAAAAUUAAUAAAUAAUCACCAAAAUCAAAACCUCACAAAGAAGCGUGUUUUCAUAGAUAUUUCUCCUGAAACACCAAAGAGACCAAAUCAAAAAAUAUCAACUGAUUCAAUGUAAUACAUAAAUAACAAUGAAGAAAUUUUGAAAACAAAUAAUUUAACAGACAUCACCAAAUCAAAUCCAUGCUUUAGUUUGCAAACCACCCACCACGCUGCAGAAUAAUUAAGAUGUUCAAUAUUCAAUUGUAUGUUUUCCAAUCAAAUUAAAAUAAUUAAGAACCACUAUUAAUUAAAGAAAUUUAAUUUAUCUAGCUGGGGCCUUUCUUGUGCCUUGUAUCAAGAUGUUUCACUGCAAAACUGAUAAACGAUCUCUCGAUUAUCAAAUGAAGAAUUAAUUAUAUAUGAAUUUUAAGAAAUUUUUAUGUAAAAGAAUAAGGGCUCGUGUAAGUAGGAAACAGAAAAUAUCUAUUCUAGUUCUAUCAUCAGCUAUGGGUUCGAAUUUAAGCGAAAUUCUUGAGAACGUUUGCUACCCCGAAAUUUUUAUAUCUUUCCUCAAUGAAAAGGAGGAAAAAAAAAUAGGGUCAAAAGAAAAUGCCAUUUUGGAGUUUUAUCGACAAUUUGCUUGUGUAGGCGGAGAUCCCAUAUUUCCGGAAUCUUUAUGUACGGAAUUACAAAAAAAAAAAUUUCAACAAAGAUGUGAAUUGGGAGGGAUUGGUUUGCAACAAAAGGGACAGAAUUUUCUCAAUUCACAUCGAUUGGGUGUAUUGUGUCGAUUCUUUUGAGUAAUAUAUCUAGAAAUACCCCUAGAUAUGUGAUUGUGUGAAAUUCUGUUGAAAGUAUAUCUUAACAAUCACUGAAUUUAAGCAAUAACAGAUCAAAGAAUCAAGAAACUAGAACACCAAAUCAAGAAAUCAUAAUUGCAUUCUUUAAAUCGACAUAGAAAAAAAAGAUUUACUAGAUAUCACCAAAUCAAAUCUAGAAGCUCCAUGCUAUGAAUAACGUUAUACUCUGACAAACCACGCUGCAGAAAAACAUGUUCAUGAAUAAGAUAUAUUCAUACUCGAGUAGUUAAAGAAAUAUUGAAAACAAAAAGAUUAUGAUAGAUAUCACCAAAUAAAUAUGCCAUGCUCUGCUGUGAAGGAAGUUAACAGUUUGACAGACAGUGCUGCAAAAAAACAUGUUCAAAUUCAAUUCCCGGAGCGAUAAGAACGAAAGGGUUGUGUGGCCACAGCUACAACACUCUUGAUACGAAAGAAACCAUCAUAAAUUAAAUUGAUAAAGGACUCGUUCAAGAAAAAUCAUUUAUCUAUCAAGAGCCGUUCCCCGUUACAUUACGUCUCCUAGAUUUCAAGACUUGAUCUUCGAUUAUCAAAGUAAGAGUUAUAUCGAAAAAUAAUACUCGUUAACUAAUCGUAAAAGAAGAGUCAAGAAAAGUAUGAGAGAGUGUGAAAUAUAUGCUCUCGGGCAUUGAACGGACGAAUUUACUAGAUAGAGAUCACCAGAAAAUUCUCAAGCUUCCAUACUCAGGAGGUUAUUACUUAGACAAACCAAGCUGCAGAAAAAGCAAGUUCACAGUUCAAUUCUUCUCAUAAUCUAAAACUUGAAAUUGAAAACAAUAAAGAAUGAAUCAUUGAAGAAAUUCGAUUCAUCUAUUUGAAGCAAUUCUCCGUUCAUAUCCGUUGUGUCAAGAAUCACAAAAUGUUCACAGUUUUUCGGAAUUCCGCCACCUGCUGCAAAUUAAACAUAUAUCUCCGUUAUCUACUUAUGAAGAACUAGAACCAAUAGUUCGAAAAUAAACAUAAUUUUUGAAAAAAACGAUCCAUAAAAGAAGAGUAGAGAGAACUGUGAAAUUCUUGAUAUCUAUAUUCCAAAAAAGCAUAUCAAAACACCAAUCAAUAAAGAUCUCAUUGAUAGAAGAAGAUCAAAGACCCAAGCGAAAAGAUAAACUGCAGACUCCUUAUGCUUUAUACUCAUGUUCCUGAUACAAAAACAUAAAAACUGCAACACUAUCCGAGCACACCAUCAGAGCACAACUAUCCCAUCCCAACACAAAAUGAAACCAGUUUUAUUAAUACCAAGGUUGAAUGAAAAGUAGGAUGUAUGACCAGUUUUAUUAAUACCAAGGUUGAAUGAAAAGUAGGAUGUAUGACCAUCAAAGCAGUCACAAUUUCUCCAGAAUUGUGUAAACUAUCACGGUCAGAAUACAUCAAAAACCUGAAUGUAAGGAAUCAGAGUAUGAUGGUGUAAGAAAACCUAAGGCUGAACUUCUCAGAUAUAAACAAGAGGAAGAUCAAUAGAACCAGAAUAUGUUUAAAAAAGAUCACUUCUCCUGCAACACGGAAGAAUAAACAACAAAUAAAGAAAUAUAUAUGUCGAUAAAACAAAUUUUUAAAAUGAAAAGAAUUAAAUAGUUAUCACCAUAUCAAAAUGCUAGGUUCCAUGCCAUGAAGCAGAUUAUUAGUGUGACAAACCAUGCUGCAGGAAAACAUGUUCAAAAUUCAUUUCGUAUGUCAUGCAAUUGAAGCCCAGAAAUUAAAAUAAUAAAGAAUGGCUCAAUGAAGAAAUUUGAUUUUUAUCUGCUGUUGUUCUUUUCCGGUGUAUGAAACGUUCUAGAUAAUGAAGAUUUCACAGACUGCAAGAUGGAUAAAUGCAUCGCCAGGUUAUCAAAUGAAGAAUUAUAUCCCAAACAAGUUUUGAUAACCAAUCCAUAAAAGAAGAGACAAGAUAAGUGUUAAAAUUCAUGAUAUCUACAAUCUGAGGGGAACAUAUUAAUAAGCAAACAAUAUGGCCAACUAGUUAAAAAAUCAAGUAACAAAAGAAGGUAUGAACAAGAAUAAACAAACAAACUUCAUAAUCAAGAAAUCAAAAGCAUAUCUUCUCAUGUAACACCAUCAAGAAAUCAAAAUCAUAUCCUCUUAAUACCAAAAAGUAAAUUAACAAUUUAACAAUUCAAGAAACAUUUGUUCUUAGAAUCAAGAAUGUAAGAUUGAAACAAAAAGGAUUUACUAGAUAUCACCAAAUCAAAACUUCAGGCUCUAUGCUGUGAAGGAUAUUAUUAUUUUGACAAACCAUACUGCUGUCUAAACCAACAAAAACAAAUAAUCAACCAGACAAAUCAUGAAACCGAAAGAAUCAAUCAAAAAUGAAUUAACAGUGCAAAACAUGAAGACCAAACAAGAGGAAGAUACAUACAACCAGAAGAAAUCGUAUGUUACAAAAUUACUUUUCCUGCAAGACCAACGAGGGUAAAAAACAGGUCAAGAAAUACAUGAUGAAAUACAUGAUCUCAGAGACGAUAAAGAAUUUUUAAAAAUGAAAAGAAUUUAAUACAUAUAACCAGAAGAAAUCGUAUGUUACAAAAUUACUUUUCCUGCAAGACCUAAGAGGGUAAAAACAGGUCAAGAAAUACAUGAUCUCAAGAGACAAUAAAGAAUUUUAAAAAAUGAAAAGAAUUUAAUACAGAUCACCAAAUCAAAACGCUAGGCUCCAUGCAUCAUUGAAGAAAUUUGAUUUAUCAAUGUGAAGCCAUUCUCUGUACAUAUCCAUUGAGUCAAGAAUCGCAAAAUGUUUAGUUUCUCAAAAUUCCACUUCCAGCAUAAUGGUUAAAUGCAUAUCUCAAGUAUCUAACAUGAUGAUCUCGAUUAUGAAGAACUACAACCAAUAGUUUGAAAAUAAACAUAUCACAACGAUCCAUAUAGGAGUAGAGAGAAUCGUGAAAUCCUUGAUAUUCUAAAAUCUAAUAAAGCAUAUCAAAAUGCCACAACAUAAAGAUCUCCUUGAUAGAAGCAAAUCAAAGACCCAAUCAAAAAGAUAAAGUCCAGACUCACAUUCCUGAUACAAAAACA